rnacentral:rRNA from 1 species
UACGUAGGGAGCAAGCGUUGUCCGGAAUCAUUGGGCGUAAAGCGCGCGUAGGCGGCCCCGUAAGUCCGCUGUGAAAGUCAAAGGCUCAACCUUUGAAAGCCGGUGGAUACUGUGGGGCUAGAGUCCGGAAGAGGUGAGUGGAAUUCCUAGUGUAGAGGUGAAAUUCGUAGAUAUUAGGAAGAACACCAGUGGCGAAGGCGGCUCACUGGUCCGGUACUGACGCUGAGGUGCGAAAGCGUGGGGAGCAAACAGG